CAUGGAAUCAUCUCUCUUCUCUCUGGAUGCUGGAGUUAAGGCUCCCAUUCCUCACGUGGGGUUUGGAAUAUAUAUGCCCAGAGUGGGUCCUCGGAGUUGGGGCAUGACUGGGCACUGAGCCUUUCUCUAGUCCUGUCUUAGAUACCAUUGCUUAGGCUCUUCGUUACCAUGGCUGCCAGGCUGUGGGAGAGGCGAGGAUGACCCACAGCCCAAGUCUGUCGUCAGUGGCGCCCAAAUAAGAAGCGAGAGAGGGAAGCAGUCGGUGUCUAGCCACCACAGAAGGAGCCUGGGGCUCCACAUUCGGACAUGAGACACUACCUGUGUGAUUUACAUACAUCAUAACGAACCUUAUGAGACAGGUACCAUGUUAUUAUCUCUUCCAGAGGAGGAGGAAACUGAGACACAGACAGAAAGCACCUUGCCAGGAGGGUUGCUCAGUGACAAAGCUGUCCAAACAAGGCAGCCCCGUUCUGGAAGUUCUGCCUAACUCUGUGAUGCUGACUUCAAUUCUUCAUCUUCUUAUCCAAGAAAGGACCCUCCUCCAAUGGGAUCCUGUGCCACCUCAGGAUCUAUGGGUCUAUGAAGGAGCCACCUGCCUGCUCCAGAGGAUUAGUGAAUACCCUGUUGACAGACCUCCUUUGUGCUGAUAUAGAGGUAGAUACCUCUCCCCCACAACCCCAGUUUGUGCAAGUCCAACUGCCUCUGGCCUCCAGGUGAGAAGCUACCACAGGGAGCUGAAGUUCUCACCUAAGCAAGAAGGCGCUAGAAAACCCAGAGCGAGUGUGAGCCCGGAAAAGGCAUUUUCUCUAAGUCCUUGGCAUGAUUUCCUCAAAUCUUAGGAUUUCAGAGCUGGAAGAGGCCUCAUGUUCUGGAAAAGACCUGUGUGGUCCAAGCCCUCCUGCCUGCGACAGCAGCCAGAGAGGGAAAGAUUGCCCCAGAAUGGGCUUAGGAACCCAGGACUCUUGACAAAAGACUGCUAAUUCAGCAGCUGGCAGCUGGGGAGAGGACUGCCUGAUUCCUCUGCGGUUCCACAGUUUCUCCAGGGAGGUAUGGGUAGUCCUGGGUGCCUCCCUGUGGGAUGGUGAUGCCCUCUGCUGGUCAUGAGCCUUGUGGAAAUAUCUCCAGACUCAAAGCCGGCUGUUGCCCGGCCCCACCUGGAAACCCUGCCAUAUUUUCGGAUCCUAUGGAACAUUUAUUCCUCCUAGGAGGAUCAGCAGUGAGUUGGUCACUGAGUUCACAAUGAGGAAGUUGUGAGGAGGGAGAUGCUGCCGGUGAAAUGCACUCCACAGCACGGCUCCAGAGCUCAACCUUCUCUCUCCCAUCUCCUCCUAAGCCACGCCCCUUGCCUAGCAUCUGUUCUCCUCCAAUGAGCCUUCCCCAGGCCUCCUGCCACUCCAGAAUGUCCCUUACCAACUUGUGCCUCUUAGCAAAUCCCCUGUGGAUCUGCUCCUGAGACAUCGAUACUUUGUCUGCAACUUAUGUCGGAGCAGGUGUCGUGUUCCCAGGGAGUUCAGGUUUCCCAGCUCUUUGACUCCAGCUGCCCCGGCUGAGAUGGGUUUAAGGGGUGGGGGGAACUUUGGGAUUAGUAGGGACUGUCUAACGACAAAGCCCCUUCUCACUUCUUUAGGGACAACCCCUUGCUAAGUCUCCCACCAAUCCACAAUCCUUUGUGAGAAGCUGGAGGAAGUGACUCCUGUGACCCCACAGACCUACUUAAACUCUGGGGAACCCUCGGGAAGGUGGAGCACUAGAGCCAUGAACGUUCAGACCCUGUAGAGUCUCAGUGAGUCAGUUACUUCAGGGCACAGAACUAGCAAGGAUGAAUAAAUAGCUCUGUGGA